UACGUAGGGUGCGAGCGUUGUCCGGAAUUAUUGGGCGUAAAGGGCUCGUAGGCGGUCUGUCGCGUCGGGAGUGAAAACUCGAGGCUCAACCUCGAGACGCCGAUGGAAACCAUGUGGCUAGAGUCCGGAAGAGGAGAGUGGAAUUCCUGGUGUAGCGGUGAAAUGCGCAGAUAUCAGGAAGAACACCCGUGGCUAAGGCGGCUCUCUAGUACGGUACUGACGCUGAGACGCGAAAGCGUGGGGAGCGAACAGG
rnacentral:rRNA from 1 species